UUCCGGUUGAUCCUGCCGGCGGCCACUGCUAUCAAGUUCCGACUAAGCCAUGCGAGUCAAGGUAUCGUAAGAUGCCGGCAAACUGCUCAGUAACACGUGGAUAAUCUAACCUUGAGUAAGGGAUAACUUCGGGAAACUGAAGGUAAUACCUUAUAAUUGCUUAAAACUGGAAUGUUUUUGCAAUAAAAGUUACGACGCUCAAGGAUGAGUCUGCGACCUAUCAGGUAGUAGGUGGUGUAAUGGACCACCUAGCCUCAGACGGGUACGGGCCCUGGGAGGGGUAGCCCGGAGAUGGACUCUGAGACAUAAGUCCAGGCCCUACGGGGCGCAGCAGGCGCGAACACUGUGCAAUGCGCGAAAGCGCGACACGGGGAGCUUGAGUGUCUUGGCAUAGCCAAGACUUUUCUCAUUCCUAAAAAGCAUGAGGAAUAAGUGCUGGGUAAGACGGGUGCCAGCCGCCGCGGUAACACCCGCAGCACGAGUAGUGGUCACUUUUAUUGAGCCUAAAGCGUUCGUAGCCGGUUUUGUAAAUCUUCAGAUAAAGCCUGAAGCUUAACUCCAGAAAGUCUGAAGAGACUGCAAGACUUGAGAUCGGGUGAGGUUAAACGUACUUUCAGGGUAGGGGUAAAAUCCUGUAAUCCCGGAAGGACGACCAGUGGCGAAAGCGUUUAACUAGAACGAAUCUGACGGUAAGGAACGAAGGCUAGGGUAGCAAACCGGAUUAGAUACCCGGGUAGUCCUAGCUGUAAACAUUGCCCAUUUGAUGUUGCUUUUCCGUUGAGGGAAGGCAGUGUCGGAGCGAAGGUGUUAAAUGGGCCGCUUGGGAAGUAUGGUCGCAAGACUGAAACUUAAAGGAAUUGGCGGGGGAGCACCGCAACGGGAGGAAUGUGCGGUUUAAUUGGAUUCAACGCCGGAAAACUCACCGGGAACGACCUGUGCAUGAGAGUCAACCUGACGAGCUUACUCGAUAGCAGGAGAGGUGGUGCAUGGCCGUCGUCAGCUCGUACCGUAGGGCGUUCACUUAAGUGUGAUAACGAGCGAGACCCACAUCUUUAAUUGCAAAUGUAUAUGAGAAUAUGCAUGCACUUUAGAGAAACCGCCAGCGCUAAGCUGGAGGAAGGAGUGGUCGACGGCAGGUCAGUACGCCCCGAAUUUCCCGGGCUACACGCGCAUUACAAAGAACGGGACAAUACGUUGCAACCUCGAAAGAGGAAGCUAAUCGCGAAACCCGUCCAUAGUUAGGAUUGAGGGCUGUAACUCGCCCUCAUGAAUCUGGAUUCCGUAGUAAUCGCGGGUCAACAACCCGCGGUGAACAUGCCCCUGCUCCUUGCACACACCGCCCGUCAAACCAUCCGAGUUGGUGUUGGAUGAGGUUUAAUUCGAGAGGGUUAAAUCAAAUCUGAUGUCGGUGAGGAGGGUUAAGUCGUAACAAGGUAACCGUA
rnacentral:rRNA from 1 species